rnacentral:rRNA from 1 species
GGGCAAGUUACUGAGGGCGCACGGGGGAUGCCUUGGCACUGGAAGUCGAUGAAGGACGUGGCAAGCUGCGAAAAGCCCAGGGGAGUGGCAAACACACGCUGAUCCUGGGAUCUCCGAAUGGGGCAACCCACCGCGGGUCAUGCCGCGGUAUCCGCCACUGAAUGCAUAGGUGGCGGAGGGCAACCCGGGGAAGUGAAACAUCUCAGUACCCGGAGGAAGAGAAAGAAACCUCGAUUCCCUGAGUAGUGGCGAGCGAAAGGGGAUCAGCCCAAACCGCCGGAGCCUCGGUUCCGGCGGGGUUGUGGGACGGUCCGCUCAGGACCAUGACGGCGAGACGAACAUGCUGGAUAUGCAUGGCCACAGAGGGUGAAAGCCCCGUAGUCGAAGCCGAAAUGGCCCUGGACCGCACCCGAGUAAGGCGGGACACGUGAAACCCCGUCUGAAUCUGGGGGGACCACCCCCCAAGGCUAAACACUCUCCAGUGACCGAUAGUGAACCCAGUACCGUGAGGGAAAGGUGAAAAGCAGCCCGAGAGGGCAGUGAAAUAGUACCUGAAACCGUGUGUCCACAAGCAGUCGGAGCACCGUGACCGGGCUUGCUCGGUCCGUGCGACGGCGUGCCUUUUGCAUAAUGAUCCGGCGACUUACUCCUCAGCAGCGAGGUUAAGGACCUCUGGUCCGGAGCCGCAGCGAAAGCGAGUCUGAACAGGGCGAACAGUUGCUGGGGGUAGACCCGAAGCGAGGUGAUCUAGCCAUGGCCAGGCUGAAGUCGGGGUUACACCCGAUGGAGGGCCGAACCAGUGUACCUUAAAAAGUGCUUGGAUGAGCUGUGGCUAGGGGUGAAAGGCCAAUCAAACCUCGUGAUAGCUGGUUCUCCUCGAAAUGUUUUGAGGAACAGCCUCAGGCGUUUCGUCGUGGAGGUAGAGCACUGCGUGGACUAGGGGGCCCACAAGCUUACCGAACCCAUGCAAACUCCGAAUGCCACGACGUCAGAGCCUGGGAGUGAGUCCACGGGGGAUAAGCUCCGUGGUCGAGAGGGAAACAACCCAGAUCGUCGGCUAAGGCCCCCAAGUCUGUGCUAAGUGCAUAAGGAGGUGGAGUCUCGAAGACAACCAGGAGGUUGGCUUAGAAGCAGCCAUUCCUUGAAAGAGUGCGUAACAGCUCACUGGUCGAGUGACUCCGCGCCGAAAAUGAGACGGGACUGAAGCACAGCGCCGAAGCCGCGGGUCGAUGGCUUGCCAUCGGCGGUAGAGGAGCGCUCUGCGUGCAUUGAAGGUCGACCGAAAGGACGGCUGGAGCGCGCUGAGGCGAGUAUGCCGGAAUCAGUAACGACAAACCGAGCGAGAAACUCGGUCGCCGCAAACCCAAGGUUUCCUGGGCAAUGCUAAUCAUCCCAGGGUGAGCCGGCCCCUAAGGCGAGGCCGAGAGGCGUAGCUGAUGGGAAGCAGGGUAGAAAAUUCCUGCGCCACCUGAACCACGUUUGACGAUGGGGUGACGCAGUGUCGAAGGUCAUCCAAGCCGACGGACAAGACUGGUGGACCCGUGAGGGCCGGCGGGGAGGCAAAUCCCCCCGCCACAAGGCCCGGGCGGGCCCCGAGGGCCCUGGUGCCCGAAGUGACCCGAAGCGCUGCCAAGAAACAGCCUCUGAGGAGUGAUUCAGGUGACCGUACCGCAAACCGACACAGGUGGGUGAGGAGAGUAUCCUCAGGCGCUCGGGAGAACCAGGGAGAAGGAACUCGGCAAA